UUCCCUUGCCUUUUCUUAAACAUUUUUAAUUUUGUUCAGCAAGCAGCACUGCUGGCCCCUGGGACCCUCUUGCUGCCCCUGAUUUUUCUUUCUUUUCCUGCUACCUAUCCGGAGGCCAGCAGGUUUUGUUAACAAUUUUAAGUUUUCUACUACCUCUUCGGAGGCCAGCAGAACCGUGCUCUGUAGAGCUGGUUGUGUGCACACAGAUUGGUUUACAAUAAGUGAGGCAAAAAUACCAAUAAUCCCCAUUUCGCUAUUCUCCACCAAAAUGUUGUACCAAUUAUAUUAGACCAGU